rnacentral:tRNA from 1 species
GGGCAUAUAGCUCAGUUGGUAGAGCAGGUGACUCUUAAUCACUCGGUCGUAGGUUCGAGUCCUACUGUGCCCA